GAUGAACGCUGGCGGCGUGCCUAAUACAUGCAAGUCGAGCGAACGGACGAGAAGCUUGCUUCUCUGAUGUUAGCGGCGGACGGGUGAGUAACACGUGGAUAACCUACCUAUAAGACUGGGAUAACUUCGGGAAACCGUAGCUAAUACCGGAUAAUAUUUUGAACCGCAUGGUUCAAAAGUGAAAGACGGUCUUGCUGUCACUUAUAGAUGGAUCCGCGCUGCAUUAGCUAGUUGGUAAGGUAACGGCUUACCAAGGCAACGAUGCAUAGCCGACCUGAGAGGGUGAUCGGCCACCACGGAACUGAGACACGGUCCAGAACCCUAAGGGAGGGAGGAGUAGGGAAUUUUGCGCAAUGGGCGAAAGCCUGACGGAGCCACGCCGGGUGAGUUAUGAAGGGCUUCGGGUUGUAAAACCCUGUUUUUAGGGAAGAACAUAUGUGUAAGUAACUGUGCACAUCUUGACGGUACCUAAUCAGAAAGCCACGGCUAACUACGUG
rnacentral:rRNA from 1 species